rnacentral:rRNA from 1 species
AUUGAACGCUGGCGGAAUGCUUUACACAUGCAAGUCGAACGGUAGGGGGGCAGCCCCUCGAGAGUGGCGAACGGGGGAGGAAUAUAUCGGAAAGUGCCCAGUCGGGGGGGAUAACGUAGCGAAAGGUACGCUAAUAACGCAUACGAUCCAAGGAUGAAAGCGGGGGGUCGCAAGACCUCGCGGGAAUGGAGCGGCCGAUAUCAGAUUAGGUAGUUGGGUGGGUAAAGGCUCACCAAGCCAACGCUCUGUAGCGGGUCUGAGAGGACGACCAGCCACACUGGAACUGAGACACGGUCCAGACUCCUACGGGAGGCAGCAGUGGGGAAUUUUGGACAAUGGACGCAAGUCUGAUCCAGCCAUUCCGCGUGCAGGAUGAAGGCCCUCGGGUUGUAAACUGCUUUUGUACGGAACGAAAAGGUCUCUCUUAAUACGGGGGACUCAUGACGGUACCGUAAGAAUAAGCACCGGCUAACUACGUGCCAGCCGCCGCCGUAA